GCAAACUUGGUCAUUUAGAGGAAGUAAAAGUCGUAACAAGGUUUCCGUAGGUGAACCUGCGGAAGGAUCAUUAUUGAAGUUUAACUCAGAGGGUUGUAGCUGGCUCCUCCAAGAGCAUGUGCACGCCCUUUGUCUUUACUCUUUUCCACCUGUGCACCUUUUGUAGACCAUGAGUGAACUCUCGAGAGCGUUGGCAACGACGUGAUCGGUUUGGGGAUUUGCGUUCAGCUUUCCCUGUAGCUCGUGGUUUAUGUCUUAUAAACUCUAUAGUCUGUUUUGAAUGUCUUAUGGGUUUUGCGCGUAAUGGUGCGACCUUUAUAAACUAUACAACUUUUAGCAACGGAUCUCUUGGCUCUCGCAUCGAUGAAGAACGCAGC
rnacentral:misc_RNA from 1 species